rfam:Bacillus koreensis strain DSM 16467 scaffold16, whole genome shotgun sequence.
CCCGUUGGUCAAGCGGUUAAGACACCGCCCUUUCACGGCGGUAACACGGGUUCGAAUCCCGUACGGGUCA